rnacentral:rRNA from 1 species
UACGUAGGGUGCGAGCGUUAAUCGGAAUUACUGGGCGUAAAGCGUGCGCAGGCGGUUUUGUAAGCCAGAUGUGAAAUCCCCGGGCUUAACCUGGGGAAUGGCAUUUGGGACUGCAAGGCUUGAGUGCGGCAGAGGAGACUGGAAUUCCUGGUGUAGCAGUGAAAUGCGUAGAUAUCAGGAGGAACACCGAUGGCGAAGGCAGGUCUCUGGGCUGACACUGACGCUCAUGCACGAAAGCGUGGGGAGCAAACAGG